rnacentral:rRNA from 1 species
GAUGAACGCUAGCUACAGGCUUAACACAUGCAAGUCGAGGGGUAACGAGAGGAAAGCUUGCUUUCCUUGUCGACGACCGGCGCACGGGUGAGUAACGCGUAUCCAACCUGCCCCCAACUAGGGAAUAACCUAGCGAAAGUAAGACUAAUACCCUAUAAUUUCCUCAGAUGACAUCUGACGAGUAAUCAAGAUUUAUCGGUUGUGUCUGGGGAUGCGUCUGAUUAGCUUGUUGGCGGGGUAACGGCCCACCAAGGCAACGAUCAGUAGGGGUUCUGAGAGGAAGGUCCCCCACAUUGGAACUGAGACACGGUCCAAACUCCUACGGGAGGCAGCAGUGAGGAAUAUUGGUCAAUGGGCGGAAGCCUGAACCAGCCAAGUAGCGUGCAGGAUGACGGCCCUAUGGGUUGUAAACUGUUUUUAUACAGGAAUAAAGUUAGCCACGUGUGGUUAUUUGUAGGUACUGUAUGAAUAAGGACCGGCUAAUUCCGUGCCAGCAGCCGCCGUAA